GAACGCUGGCGGCGUGCCUAAUACAUAGCAAGUCGAGCGGAGUUUCAAGAAGCUUGCUUUUGAAACUAGCGGCGGACGGGUGAGUAACACGUGGGCAACCUGCCCCUUAGACUGGGAUAACUCCGGGAAACCGGAGCUAAUACCGGAUAAUCCCUUUUUUCCACCUGGAGAGAGGGUGAAAGAUGGCUUCGGCUAUCACUAGGGGAUGGGCCCGCGGCGCAUUAGCUAGUUGGUAAGGUAACGGCUUACCAAGGCAACGAUGCGUAGCCGACCUGAGAGGGUGAUCGGCCACACUGGGACUGAGACACGGCCCAGACUCCUACGGGAGGCAGCAGUAGGGAAUCUUCCGCAAUGGACGAAAGUCUGACGGAGCAACGCCGCCGUGAGUGAGGAAGGCCUUCGGGUCGUAAAGCUCUGUUGUGAGGGAAGAAGCGGUACCGUUCGAAUAGGGCGGUACCUUGACGGUACCUCACCAAGAAAGCCACGGCUAACUACGUGCCAGCCGCCGC
rnacentral:rRNA from 1 species